rnacentral:misc_RNA from 1 species
CAGAGUUGCAAAACUCCCUAAACCCAUUGUGAAUCUACCUGUUUUGUUGCUUCGGCGGGCAGCCCCAGGGCGGGGCCGCGCCUGGGAGAGUCCCGGGUGCCCGCCGGAGGUUUUGAAACUCUAGCUGUUUUAGCUGUCUGAGUACUGCAAGCAAUAAGUCA